CCUCUUUUAUGCAUGUUUUGCUUCUCUUUAUACUUCCCUCUUCCUUCCCUUUUGGAACCCUUUCUCACCACACAGCUGGGGUGAUACUUGUCCUAUUAGACAUGUUAUCCCUUAUUUUCAUGAUAUCUGGACUUUUCGAGCUUAAAGUACUGUUCAGGUAAGUCAUUCAGCAAUAAAUACGACUAUGCCAAGCAGGUGGUCGAAUUAAUGCGGAAAUGACUAUUACUUCAUCCAAGAGCCAUGCACCCUUUGGAUCCUCGGACAUUUCUUCCGAGAACACUGAGUUCAUCGUCAAGAUCAUCCAAGGACACAGGCUACACAGACCUCGAGCUUCAAACCAUUUUCCCUGAGAUGCCAGAUCUUAAUUCCUUGAGCCCAAUAGCUUUUCUCUAUUGCUAGGUAUUAGGCUGAUCUUCCUAAGAAGCCAAAAACACUUAGAAUCAAACCCACUCCCUCAUAAUUAUGUUCAUGAGGGACAUUACGAGACAAUGUAGAACACACAAAGCUGGCUUUGUAGUACAAGCUUUCUCUCUCAAUGCACGAUAAGCGCCCUUACUAUCUUGUGCUUUGAGAUUUGGGCUUUAUCCACUGUCGUCCUCUCGUAAGCGACGCUCAGGGAGGGUUGGUCUCUACCCUUUGUGGGUUCCUUCUAGACUCUUGUGGGUCUUGUGCUACCACUUUGUGUGGCUUCUCUUUGCCCCUUUAUGGAUCUUGUGCCGCCACUUCGUAUGGCUUUCUCUUUACCCCUUUUGUGGGUUUAUACUUACUCUGUGUGGGUCGUGUUGGUCUCUCUUGCCAAGUUUCUCAUCUUGGUCUAUCAACAUUUCAGCCGCUUGGUGUGUUGGUAAGGGUCAAGUGGAUUAGCUAGCUUCCUCAAACUGUUUACUCCUCAACAUUAUUGGCCUCCUUUGUGUUUUGUUUUUGCUAAGAAGUGGUGAUCUAAUUUAUGUGGUUAAUGAAAUUAAAUAAGUGGAUUUAUGCAAAGAAGAAAGCUAAUGGACUUUAAUUUUACAAGGGCCAUGAUGAAGUCAAAGAAGGCCAACCCAAUUAAAUUCAAUUCCAGUUGGAGCAAGGAAUCAAAGGAAAUUUACACCUAAUCCAAGUCCAAUUCGGAUUAGGAUUCCAGCUUGCACACCAGUUAGUAUUUGGAGCAUAACUUUUGGUGCAGAUGUCCAAUCGAGAUGAUUUAAGUUGGGCUGGAAAGAUAACUUAAAUGGCUACAACUUUGUAGUUUACUAAAAGUCCAAAUUCUGAAGUUAAAUGGGCCAAAAACAUCGGUUAAGUAAAGCCUAAAAACCUGGGAUUUUCUCCAAACGGGAAUUCAACUUGUAAUAGGAUUCCUUGACCUAUUUAAAGGCUCUUUAGGGAAAAAUUCAGAGGAGAGCUGCUGUAGAACAUAAUUUAGGUUUUCUUAAAGUUUCUUUACAGUUUUUAGAGUUUUAUUUGUGUUAUGGCUUGCUAGAAGCCUUGUUAAGGCAAGGGGUGAAACCCAACCGUUUAUUAGUAUGUUCUUAACAAUUAUUUAUUGGUUUUAAUACUUAUGUUUUUAUGUUUUUGAUUGUUUUACUCAUCUAGAAAAGUGUUUAGUUCUGUAUAA